GCUUUCUACAGUGUGUGUGUGUGUAUACAUCGAUUAUGCUUUCUUCAGGUGGGUGUGUGUAUACGCAUUGCUUUCUCAGGUGUGUGUGUGUAUACAGCAGUUGCUUCUCCGUUGUGUGUGUGUGUGUAUACAGUGAUAUGCUUUCUCAGGUGUGGUGUAUCUGCAGUGAUAUGUUUUAUCAGGUGUGUGGUGUGUGUAUACAGCGAUAUGCUUUUCUCAGGUGUGUGUGUGUAUACAGUGAUAUGCUUUCUCAGGUGUGUGUGUGUAUACAGCGGUAUGCUUUCUCAGGUGUGUGUGUAUACAGCGAUAUGCUUUCUCAGGUGUGUGUGUGUAUACAGCAAUAUGCUUUCUCAGGUGUGUGUGUGUUACAGCGUCUGCUUUCUCAGGUGGUGUGUGUGUAUACCGUGUAUGCGUUUCUCAGGUGUGUGUGUAUCUGCAGUGAU
rnacentral:lncRNA from 1 species